ensembl:lncRNA
CUUUUUUCAAUAUGAACUUACCUGCGAUAACUUCUGGACAUUUAUAGAUCAUUAGGACUAAAGUGUUCUUAACAGAAACAGCAACAUUUUUAUAGUUCCCUUAUCUUCAGCGCUCCGUGUGGGAGUGGCUUACACACAGCUGAAGACUGAUUUACAGCGUCUGUGCAGUGAGCAGACUCAAUAUCCUGGAAAGGUGCUAACCGCUAGGCUAACUAGCAACAAGAUGCCUUCCCUCUCCACAGAUGACUACCACAGCCUCCUGCAGAAGAUUGCAGUACUAGAAACAAAAAUUCAUCGCUUAGAAAGUAAACGUGGUGGUAAAUGGACUGUGUGGAAAUGAAACAAUCUUUCCUUUGAUUCAAAACAAUGGCGAUGAGCAAGCUAGUACACAGCUAAGGAGCACAGAUAACAUGACCAAGACAGAAGACUCUGUGCAUUAUAAUAAAUCCUCAAGCGAUAAUCCCCCCUUGAACUGUCUUGGUGCAAAACCAAGACAUAAAUCAAGUCUCCUGGAAGGGGGAGGACGUAUCACAGGCAAAGCACAGCGAGCUGAAAUCUCUGAAACCGACUGGCCUUCACUUCCUACGAGACAGAGAAGCUCUUCUACCCCUGAAUAUGGGAGGAAACAGGACUGGACAACCGUGAAUAGGAAGGUUAACAACAAACCUCCAAAACAACUGAAUGUGAAACUGCAGAACAGAUUUGCUCCACUAUCAAAGGACCCUGGAUUAGUUCCUUAGUUCCUCCUUACCACCUUCAUGCUCUGUCUCCGCAGUCUGAUGUGUGAUGUGUGGAGGGUCCGAGCUGUGAGGAUUAUGGCAGUGGUGACCCCGGAGAAGCUGGGACCCUGUUUACUAGAAGGAGCUGCCCUCAGAUUCAGACCUCAGCACCACCCAGUGACAGCAGACAGAUCAUCCAACAUGUUAACUGCAAAAUGAACUGAUGAAAACAGUACAAAGGUUAAAGUAUCACACGUGCUGUAGUGAAAGCUGCAGCUUUAUUGAUAAAGUUAAAGACAAAAAAACAAAAGGAUUAAUCACUCAUGUAACUGUGUCACUAUAUAUCAGCAUUAACAGGACCUCAGUUUGGUGUUUCACAAAGCUGCUGAUCUCAGACCUGCACAGCUUCCGAUUUAAACACUUGAUGUACUCAGCUGCAUGAAGAGCAUAUGAGAUUUUCUCGGACACAAUUAAAUAAAACCUGAUGAAGGUCAAAGGUCGUCACUUGUAUGUUGAACUACAAACUUGUCAUCUGGAAUUCUUUCACAGUUUUUUGCAGAUAAUGUGUUAUUUACUUUAAAGUGAUUCAGAGUUAUUCAUACCAGAGUAACCAGAGAGGAUCACAUAUUUUUAAAUAUAUAACUUUCUACAGGACUGAAUAUAAUAUCUUUAUGUAAAAGUCCGGAGCCUCUGGGGAGUAUCCGAGUAUUUAUAACAUUACACAAACCAAAGGUCUCCAUCACAGUGUUCAUGAAAUGCUGGAUUUAUCCAUCUCCUGGAUCGGGCCUACGGAGGAGUGCUGAAGAUUUCCCUGUGAGGGAGCUGCUGGUGAAGAUCAUGAGUCCUGCUUGAUCAAUGCGAUGAGCUUCAGUCUUCCUGGUGUUUCUUAAAUGAUGCCUCUUACAGCGGGUCAACAGAACUUAUGGCACAGGACAGCUGUGAUGAAAGAAAGGGAAGAAGUUUCUCCAAACCUCUGGACACAGGAAACCCAGCUUAGUCCUGAUGGUCUCCCUCACUAGUUUCUCUCCAGGGUGAAUGUAGCUGUUGAUAUACUAUGGACUCUAUUAUUAAAUGAAAAUAACAAAUUAGACUACACUACUGAAACGUUCUGCUGAUGUUUUUAAAGUUUCCAUGUUACCAGGCUGUAGAGGGCUCUGAAGAUUUAAACAGUUUUAGAUCCAUUACACUCACAGUCUUAUGUUAAAAUCUCAAAGGACAGCAUUAUAUUUUUGAUAUUAACAGUAACUCUGGGCCUCUGUAGAGUGUGCAGCUGAUCUCAUCGCUGUCUAAAAAUGGAUAAAAAAAACAUAAGUGUCGAAGACUAUUAAGAGUAGCAGGUGUGUAGCAUUGCUAACUAGCUAGCAACAAGCCUCCAACACAGUGCGUAUGCUAGCGGCUAAUCUAACUAACGAAUUAACAACAGAGUGAUUUUAGAACUAUAAGAUGAUAAGCUGUGUGUCUUUUUUAUAACAGUGACAUGGUUGUAUUUACCUUAAUUAAACGAGUCGUCAGUCGCGGUAAACCAGCAAAAAAACUCGAGCAGCCGGGCUACGUAAAAAGUGUAGAGGAGCGUGUUUACGGUCACAUCCAGCGGGUGUGUGGGCG